GAUGAACGCUGGCGGCGUGCCUAAUACAUGCAAGUCGAGCGAACGGACGAGGAGCUUGCUUCUCUGAUGUUAGCGGCGGACGGGUGAGUAACACGUGGAUAACCUACCUAUAAGACUGGGAUAACUUCGGGAAACCGGAGCUAAUACCGGAUGAUAUAUUGAACCGCAUGGUUCAAAAGUGAAAGACGGUCUUGCUGUCACUUAUAGAUGGAUCCGCGCUGCAUUAGCUAGUUGGUAAGGUAACGGCUUACCAAGGCAACGAUGCAUAGCCGACCUGAGAGGGUGAUCGGCCACACUGGAACUGAGACACGGUCCAGACUCCUACGGGAGGCAGCAGUAGGGAAUCUUCCGCAAUGGGCGAAAGCCUGACGGAGCAACGCCGCGUGAGUGAUGAAGGUCUUCGGAUCGUAAAACUCUGUUAUUAGGGAAGAACAAAUGUGUAAGUAACUGUGCACAUCUUGACGGUACCUAAUCAGAAAGCCACGGCUAACUACGUG
rnacentral:rRNA from 1 species